rnacentral:tRNA from 1 species
CGGUAAAGUGACUGAUGAAGGUGAUAAAUUGUAAAUUUAUUUAUAAGUGUAAGGCUUUUUUACUGG